UUUUCUUGUUAAAGUUUACAGAAACUCUGCUUUCCCUGCACACCCUCACCACUUAUCUUAUAUUCAGCUGUGAGCUUUUAAAGUCCUGACAUCCUUUAUUAAGCAAACGCAAAUACAAACACACAGUGGGUCCCCAUCUUGGCCCUGAUUGUAACCACCUGAGAACUUUAACGUCCACGGGGCAGCCCCCUCUUCAGACCCUAGAAUUUAUCAUUUAAUUGCCCAGGACAUGAGUUGGUUUUGUGUUUUUUGUUCCCAGGUGAUUCUAAUAGGCACCUCAUGUGGAAAACCACUCACAGGGUUUAACAAAGAAAACAUUUGGAAUAACCCAAACUUUCCUCCGUUUUGGGGGUGACUAUUCAAGCAGCCUUGCCUCUUGCUCUUCGAUUGGCUCUCCCAUUAGUGCCCUUCCCUUGAGCAUGGCUGUCCUCACCCCGACUCAGCCCCAAAGUUUUGAGGCUCCCAUUAAAAAUUCCAGACCAAGAACAGGUGAGAGAUUCCAGGCAGGGAAGUAACGUGCCUGACAUCCACGGAACCAGUUCCUCCCAGAGGUGGCACUGCUGACUCUCUGUUCACAGCCACUUACACUACCAUCCCUGCAGAAAUGGGGUGCUACAGAGAAUGUCCUUAGCAAACUUUCAGAGACAAGGCUAUUUUAGAGCGCAAGAGCAAAAACCCAUUCAACCUGGCAAAAAUCACAGAGUCUUAGAAAGAAUCAGGAUCUUACAGAGCUCCAGUCAGGCCUCAUUGGGAACUGGAACCAGCAAUUGGAAAAGCAGCAGGAACCUAGACAGUUAUUGUCCCUCGUGUGGGUGUGUGUAUGUGUCUCCAGGCUACUUUCUCUCUGCUUCCCUUUGCACACGAAGCUGCUGGAGCAGGAACCUGGUCAGCCCUUUCGGUCAGGUGUCCACCCCUUCUCCCUCCAGGAACGAGCAGGGAGCGGAGCCAGUUGUAGAAACAUGGGAAGAAAGUUUGAGGACGGUGGCUAACUGCCGCUGGGGACCUACGUCAGAGCUUGAACUGACCUCCCCUCAAGGGUUCUCAUAUGGGCACAGAACCUAGAGCUCAUUCAGUGCAACGCCCUCAUGUUCCUGGGUGUCUGUCACCGGUUCUGUGUCUACUGAUGCGCAGGCAUAAAUCUCCAAUUUUUCAACAACUUAUUUACAGAAAGAAUCGCGAAGCCGCUGACCUCAGACUCGCAUCUCUGAGGAACCUGACUUUGGAUUUUAGCCUACGUGUUAAACCUCAGGAAAUUUUAUACAUGGGCAAGGAACACAGGACCCAAGACAAGCAGACUGAUCGUCAAGCCGCUGUCUCAAUUUUUUUAAAUGUUCUUGAGAACAUUUGACGUGUUCUUCGAGCCAAAGCAAUAGCUUCUUGUUUGGUGAGCAUGUUUUCCGAGACAAUACGAGGCUCGACUUUAAAAUUUACCCAAAUAAAAGUGUGUGUGCAUGUCUGUUAA
rnacentral:lncRNA from 1 species